UUCGGACGAAACCCAGAACAAAGUGAUCGAGCCCUCCAGCAGCGACCUUCUGGCCAGCGCGAAGCUGGUGGCGAACGCGGCGCAGUCUACUCUGCGGAACGAAAGUGACAAGGUGGACAAGACGAAGGUGGCGGACGCGGCGGGGGACCUUCUUGACGCGGCGGGAAAAUAUGGGAAACUGGAUGAUCAGAAGGGCGUAGGGCAGUACGUGGACAAAGCUGCCGAUUAUCUGCACCAGUACCAGGACAAGGCUGCUGCACCUUCUCAGCCUGCAGACUCCAAACCUGAAGAAAGUGGUGGUUUGGGUGGUCUUGCAAACUUGGCUGGAGGCUUCUUCAAAAAGUAGUGGUAGAAGAAGAUGAAGGUCUUUAGUUUCUCAGUUUCGUGUUGUUCUUGUAUGAUGUAAGAUUGAAUAAAUAUGAUACAGUUUGGUGUUUGUAGAAGAAGACCUUUUCUUAGUUCCACAAACAUGUUCCUCCAAGACACUCUUCUCUUUCUAUGUAUCUGUUCCCUUUUGUAUAUUAACG
rnacentral:lncRNA from 1 species